rnacentral:lncRNA from 1 species
AGAGGAAUCACUUUAUUUUGCAGUUGCAACUAGCUUAAGUUAUGUAGCUAGAAGUUAUGUAGCUAGAAAGCUGACUUGCACACUUAAAGCUAAUGAAGAGAAAUGCAGGUUUUCCGGGGUAGGUUCUUGGCACUUCUCUGCAAAUAGGUAAAAGGGAAUGGCAGAUAUUCAAGCUUAGGGAGCAAGCAGCAAGGACAGAGCCUUCCCCGUCUCUGUGUGUUGAAGUCAGCAGAUAGCACACCUGCUGCUGCGUGAGUUCCUUCUGCCAAGCAGAGCAGCACAGCUGCAAGACACCCUGCUUCUGGCUCUGAGCUUUGCUUGUCUUCAGGGAUGGAGCCCCUCCCAAGGCAAGUUCAACUGGGUUCUUUGGCAGCCGAAGUCUACACGGACCCUGCAGGGAGCGGUGGAGAAAAGUUAGAUGUCUGAAGUGUUUUUCAUUGGACCAAAAUCAAGGUGUUGGCUGGGCUACCUUCCCUUCUGGAGACUCUAAGGAAGAAUCCAUUUCCUUGUCUUUUCCAGAUCCUAGAGGCUACCUGCAUUCCUUGGCUUUUAUCCCCAAUCUUCCAUCUUCGGAGCCAGCAACAAUAUAUUGAUCAUGAGGAGAGGGCUCACCCCUCACCCGGAGAAGUAGUUGGGGAAGCAAUAUGCGGAAACAAAGCCAUGAAUCUGACAAGAAAUGUACUUAAGGUAAAGGGAAGCCAAAUAUAAGUAAAGUACUAACAAGGCCAAUUACGUUCAGGUGCAUGGAUGAUUAAUCAUAAAAUUCACAACGGAGGACACUCUGUGGGGAAAAGACCAUGUGAGGACACAGUGAGAAGGAGACCAUAUGCAAAGCAGGAAGGAAGAUCUCACUGGAACCAAAAACCAGCCCUGCUGGCACCCUGAUCUUGGACUUCUAGCCUUUCUCAGAACUGUGAGAAAAUAAAUUUCUGAUGUUUCAGCCAC